GCUUGUGUAGCUGCGAAUCUGCUGCAUCAGCUGCUGCGUGGGGAGACUGAAUUUGGAUGAUGAAGUCCAGCCUAAUGCAUUUGGUUCCCCCAGUGAAUAGGGACAGAAUAAUCUGCCAUUUCCCCAAGACUGGUAUCUCAAUUACCAACCCUGAUCCCUUCCUUCAACCAACAACAGAUGUGCAUCUUGACACAAGAGCCUUGUCUGUAAUUCCCACCUGUUCUUUAAACCAACACAGGUAAUUGCCACAGUUAGGGAGCACAAGAUGAAAAACAUGGC
rnacentral:lncRNA from 1 species